rnacentral:tRNA from 1 species
UGGCGGGUAGUUCAAUCGGCAGAACAGCGACUUUGGAUCCGAGGUUGGAGGUUCGAGCCCUCCCCCGCCAG